GUGGGAGUAUGAUGAGGCCCCUGUACCACAUGGGGGAAACGGUGGCUAUUACCGGAUGUGCCGAAAGGUGCAAGAUUUAUUGCCUGAAGAUGAGCUCGCGUCUGAUUAGCUAGUAGGUGUGGUAAGAGCGCACCUAGGCGACGAUCAGUAGCUGGUCUGAGAGGAUGAUCAGCCACACUGGGACUGAGACACGGCCCAGACUCCUACGGGAGGCAGCAGUGGGGAAUUUUCCGCAAUGGGCGAAAGCCUGACGGAGCAAUACCGCGUGAGGGAGGAAGGCUCUUGGGUUGUAAACCUCUUUUCUCAGGGAAGAACUUAAUGACGGUACCUGAGGAAUAAGCAUCGGCUAACUCCGUGCCAGCAGCCGCGGUAAUACGGAGGAUGCAAGCGUUAUCCGGAAUGAUUGGGCGUAAAGCGUCCGCAGGUGGCUAUGUAAGUCUGCUGUUAAAGAGUGAGGCUCAACCUCAUAAGAGCAGUGGAAACUACAUAGCUAGAGUGCGUUCGGGGCAGAGGGAAUUCCUGGUGUAGCGGUGAAAUGCGUAGAGAUCAGGAAGAACACCGGUGGCGAAAGCGCUCUGCUAGGCCGCAACUGACACUGAGGGACGAAAGCUAGGGGAGCGAAUGGGAUUAGAUACCCCGGGUAUCAA
rnacentral:rRNA from 1 species